UACAGAGGGGGCAAGCGUUGUUCGGAAUUACUGGGCGUAAAGGGCGCGUAGGUGGCCUGUUAAGUCGAACGUGAAAUCCCCGGGCUCAACCUGGGAACUGCGUCCGAUACUGGCAGGCUUGAAUCCGGGAGAGGGAUGUGGAAUUCCAGGUGUAGCGGUGAAAUGCGUAGAUAUCUGGAGGAACACCGGUGGCGAAGGCGGCAUCCUGGACCGGUAUUGACGCUGAGGCGCGAAAGCUAGGGGAGCAAACGGG
rnacentral:rRNA from 1 species